rnacentral:lncRNA from 1 species
UUUCCUCAUGUUGGUAACACAUGAGAAGAAUUAUGAAAGCAUUUUCUGAAAAGGAUAAAAAAUGCUAACUUAUUCUCUAAGUCCUAACAAGAAAAAUAAGCAAGAGUAAGGUAAAAUCAUUCUGCAAAAAUUAAAGCAGUGAGUAGACAAGGAUAAAAAUGAAGAAGUAUUAUACAAACUUCUUAACAUAAAAAGCUAAGGGAAAAACUUAGCAAUUACAAUACAUUUUUCUGAAACAGAUGCCCCAUUAUAGAAACUGGGGACUCCAUCACAUCAUAAGAUCAAACAAAAAAGAGGUAAGGUUAAACAUCUUCAUUGGUCAUUGAGGUGAUUGGAGCGGUAGGAGUCGCAGCUUCAUUAGGCUCUGAGAAGCAGUAGACACGGGGAUUUCUGUUCCUAAAGGUUGUGUUAUAGAUAAGUUACCCUUGUCUACUUGAAUUGUAAUUUCAAUAACUUCAGAUGUUGCUUCUAAGUUCAAAGGCUCUUCAACCCCGGAGUUUUCACUGUUGGAGAAGAGAUGUCAAUUACCUGGUCAGGAGAAGGAGUUUCGGUUGGCUGUUCAAUUUUCUCAAUCAAGUCUAAAAGUUUGGCUAACUCAGAUUGCAAGUCAAUUUUUUCCUGAGAAGCCUCCAUUAAAGUAUCACGACGAGAUUUCUAGAAGGCCCAGAAUACAACAUGUGUACAAGGUAUUUAAUGGGAAAGACAGAAAAGACAUUGUGACAAAAUUUCUUUUUCAGGAUCCACUUCCCAAUUAUUUAAUUGAUAAAUAAAUAAAAAGUGGGAGGACUAUAUAUAUUGGGAAAAAAUUGAGUUUUUAUUAAAGGUGACGUGUCAUGACAUGUGGAUUAGUCAAACAGUCAAAGAACAAUAAAUGAUUAAAAGGCACGGAGGACAACAUGCACGGUAGAAAAAAAGGAAACAGGCACGAGAAGGAACCUUAGUUACGAUUCUCGUGUAUAUCCAAGGCAUUCAAUAUCUACGGAUGAAACAGGUACGAGAAGGAACCUUAGAUACGAUUAUCGUGUCUAUCCAAGGCAUUCAAUAUCAACUGAUAAAAAAGGCAUUGAAAACACGAAUAUGAAGACAAAAAGUAGUCUACAUUCAUUAUUAAAUACUUGAUACGCUAGUUAUUCAGUAUUUAAUAACAAUCAUUAUGUAACUCCCAUUAAAUGCUCU